CAGAAGCGUAUAUUAAUGUUGUUGCAGUUAAAACGCUCGUAGUUGGAUCUUGGAAGUAGGUUAGAGCUCUGUCCGCCUGAAGGCGAGUACGGACUCUCCUCUUCUGUAUUUGGUGAUAACGCAUCCUGGGCCUUAAUUGGUUGUUGGAUGAGGCGGAGUGUUUAAAUAGCACAAAACCGAGGGCGCGCGUACGGUUCGCCGUGCGUGUUGUCAGCGUUUCACCUCAUUUACUUUGAAAAAAUAGAGUGCUCAAAGCAGACCUUAGGGUCAUUGAAUAAUUCAGCAUGGGAUAAUAGAAUAUGAGAUUGAAUUCAUUUUGUUGGUAUUAUGAAUUUAAACUAAUGAUUAAAAGGGACCGUCGGGGUGGUUUGUAUUUUUGAGCUAGAGGUGAAAUUCUUGGAUUUCUAAAAGACAAACUACUGCGAAAGCAAUCUACUAGGAGGUUCUCAUUAAUCAAGAACGAAAGUUGGGGGAUCGAAGACGAUCAGAUACCGU
rnacentral:rRNA from 1 species